UACGUAGGGUGCAAGCGUUAAUCGGAAUUACUGGGCGUAAAGCGUGCGAAGGCGGUUGUGCAAGACAGAUGUGAAAUCCCCGGGCUUAACCUGGGAAUUGCAUUUGUGACUGCACGGCUAGAGUGUGUCAGAGGGGGGUAGAAUUCCACGUGUAGCAGUGAAAUGCGUAGAUAUGUGGAGGAAUACCGAUGGCGAAGGCAGCCCCCUGGGAUAACACUGACGCUCAUGCACGAAAGCGUGGGGAGCAAACAGG
rnacentral:rRNA from 1 species